rnacentral:misc_RNA from 1 species
GUUCUCAUCUACUAGUACAACUAAUAAAUGGAACAUCAACUUGGAAUGGCCGUUUAGAAAUAUUACACAACGGAACACGGACCACAGUGUGUGGCGAUUAUUUUGGAAAAGAAGAGGCACAGGUAGCCUGCAAAAUGCUUGGUUUAGACAGUUCGCGGGCCAUGGCUGUGGGGUCAAGUCAGUACGGCGAAGGUUCAGGUCUGAUCCUCUUUGGCAACGUCACGUGCACAGGGAAGGAGUCGAGUUUUGAUGAGUGUCAACAUGAUGGAUUUUACGAGCGUGACUGCAACCACAGUGAUGAUGUCGGUAUCAUCUGUAAUAUCAAACCAUUACGACUUCGCUUGACGAGUGUUUUUCGAGACAGACCAGAGAUAAACCGUCUUGAGAUAGAACUGGAAACCCAGUGGAACUCACUUUGCAUCACUCGGAAUGCUGCCAAGGUUGUCUGUAGACAGCUCGGCUUAUCACAGCAUGCUGCAUUGUAUACGAAUGUAUCAAUGCAUAAAGAAAUUUUAUCUGAACACAACAACCACUCUAAACUGGAGAUAAAGUUUCUCUGCCUAGGGAAUGAGACAAGCCUUUUGGACUGCGACCUUUAUGGACAGAAGAAAGAUGUCGUUUGCGGAUUUCCUCCCAGUAUCAACUGUAAUGAGUCCUUACCUUAUCUUCGUAUCCUGUAUAAUGAGACUUCAUUCCCGCCACUUGAUGGAUCAAAUAUAACUCUAGAAUGUGAGAUCACACAGUCCGGGGAAUCAGAAGUUACCUACCUGUGGUUUGAGUAUUCCAGGAGACAUGUCCAGCGCUAUCAUGGGAAGUACCUAAUAUUUAAUGUUACUGGAGACCAUCAUGGACUUCGAGUGUACUGUGCAGCCAACUAUUGGUACAAUGGUCUCCGAUAUAAUAUUGCAAGUGACACAAUGAUAAUGACAGUUUGCUGUGUCCCGUCGAUAAGCAUGAAUGAUCAAGUACCGCCAUCCAUGUAUAUCCAUGACGACAAAGGUUAUCUAAAGUUUGAAAUGACAGCCUAUCCCAUCCCUCAAGUAACAGCCACUAUGUACCUUGGUCCAGUUCUGACUGAUGGUGUCAAAGGUGAAGAUACCAGCAACACGACACGUGUAAUAUGUGCUGAUGUUGGUCUGGCACGUGCAUCAGUGUCGUGUAACAUCACUGUCUCUAACAUAUCACAAGCUGCUGAUGGCUUCUACAAAAUCGUUUUCGACAACAAACUUGGGCAGCUGCCUUUUAUAUUCACAAUCAGGCGUCAAGAGCGCAGAGGAGAAAUACCAUCGGCAUUUUUGUUGACUUUUGUCGGCGCAUUUGCUGUUGGCAUUGUUAUCUUCACUUCUGUGACAGUCUACUGCGUCAAGCGUUGGACAGCAGCAGCAACUUCUAUAUACAGAAGGUAAAACACUUGUUGCUCAAAGGAUUGCCACAUCUAUACAGACUGGCAUUUUAGGAACCAGAUUAGGUGAGAAAACGAAAACAACUAUCGUAGCCGGACAUCAAGAUGACUGAUAUGACGCACAUGUCAAUGAUUAGAAUAUUCUUUUCUGAGGUUCUUAGAAUCAUGUGUUACAUGUGUGAAUUGCUAACAUAUACUGUUUUGUUUUUAUUUUUACAAAUAGAGCACGGAAAUGUACAGAUUUUAUGAUAUUGUGAUAAGAGUAGAGGGUUAGAGUAACUUCAUGUUAGUAUAGUUGAUGUUGCUUAGUGUUCUUCUGCUUUUAUUUAAGGGAGGUAAGCACAUCAAAAUUGGAAGAAACAUGGAUACAUUUGCAUUUCUGUGGUUGUUUCCCUUUGGUUAUUUAUUAUAUUUAUUAUUCAUACUCAUCAAAUACAAAGAAAUUGCAAAUCAUAAAAUGUUGUUAGUAGUAGUAGUCUCAAACGGUUUUACAGACCUACUUUUGUUGUACUUGGCAACAAGGGAAAUGUGGUUAGUUAUGAUGCUUACAAAAGUGUAUGUAAGUCGAGUCGUUAGUUUGAAUGUGUGUAUGAAAGACCGGAGGCGGCCCGGUGGCGCAACGGUUAGCGCUGUUAGCGCCUGUCACCAAUACAGUGAAGGUUGGCUGCCCUGAGUUCAUUUC